AUUCUUUUACUUCCUCAAUUUUUUUGUUUUUCAGACUUUCUAAAAUAAGCAUGUGCAGUGAACACAUUGAAUAAUUGUGUUUAAUGGCAAGAAGUUCAACAUUUAACUAUAAAUACGGAAUUGGGACAAAAAAAUACAGACAUGAAGGCAUAACCAUUAAGUCUCAACAUCAUGAUCAAAUUUUCAUAAGGAAAUAAUUUAUUACAACUGAAGUUUUGAUUUGUUAAAAGUAGUUAAAGUCAGCCACAUGAACAGAGAGAAAUAUAACUUCAAUUUUAUUUCUUGUAUCACAGGAGCUGUUGACAGUACAUGUGGGGUUAUCCAGACACUGUUUCAAAAUGAUGUGAGUGGUCGGGACGUUAAUCAUCUGCCGACUCACUGUGGGAGGAGGACUCGGCGCCAGGUGCAGCGCAACAGCUGCUGUCCCUCAGUUACCGGGAUCGUGUCACAAUUCAUUUCCAUUAUGGCAGUCUGGUGUUCAAAAUCUGCUUCAAGCUAGUCACACAUAUGCUGAACGGCUGCUGGGUAAGCAUGUUUCCCAAGGUAAUAUAUGAUACUGAGCAGGUUCUGGGUUAAUUAAUAUAUUUCCGAUCUGCAAGAAUCAUUUGGAGU
rnacentral:lncRNA from 1 species